rnacentral:rRNA from 1 species
AUUGAACGCUGGCGGCAUGCCUUACACAUGCAAGUCGAACGGCAGCACGGGUGCUUGCACCUGGUGGCGAGUGGCGAACGGGUGAGUAAUACAUCGGAACAUGUCCUGUAGUGGGGGAUAGCCCGGCGAAAGCCGGAUUAAUACCGCAUACGAUCUACGGAUGAAAGCGGGGGACCUUCGGGCCUCGCGCUAUAGGGUUGGCCGAUGGCUGAUUAGCUAGUUGGUGGGGUAAAGGCCUACCAAGGCGACGAUCAGUAGCUGGUCUGAGAGGACGACCAGCCACACUGGGACUGAGACACGGCCCAGACUCCUACGGGAGGCAGCAGUGGGGAAUUUUGGACAAUGGGCGAAAGCCUGAUCCAGCAAUGCCGCGUGUGUGAAGAAGGCCUUCGGGUUGUAAAGCACUUUUGUCCGGAAAGAAAUCCUGGGCCCUAAUACGGUCGGGGGAUGACGGUACCGGAAGAAUAAGCACCGGCUAACUACGUG